rnacentral:piRNA from 1 species
UAUUUAAAAAAAAAAAAAAAAGACUCUUAC